CCUACGGGAGGCAGCAGUGGGGAAUAUUGCACAAUGGGGGGAACCCUGAUGCAGCAAUGCCGCGUGGGUGAAGAAGCACUUCGGUGUGUAAAGCCCUGUCAGCAGGGAAGAAAAUGACAGUACCUGGACAAGAAGCCCCGGCUAACUACGUGCCAGCAGCCGCGGUAAUACGUAGGGGGCAAGCGUUAUCCGGAUUUACUGGGUGUAAAGGGAGCGUAGGCGGCGUGGCAAGUCAGGAGUGAAAAGCCGGGGCCCAACCCCCGGAGUGCAUUGGAAACUGGCCGGCUGGAGUGCCGGAGAGGUAAGCGGAAUUCCUAGUGUAGCGGUGAAAUGCGUAGAUAUUAGGAGGAACACCAGUGGCGAAGGCGGCUUACUGGACGGUAACUGACGCUGAGGCUCGAAAGCGUGGGGAGCAAACAGGAUUAGAUACCCGUGUAGUC
rnacentral:rRNA from 1 species